rnacentral:rRNA from 1 species
UUGGUCAUUUAGAGGAAGUAAAAGUCGUAACAAGGUCUCCGUAGGUGAACCUGCGGAGGGAUCAUUACUGAGUGAGGGCCUUCGGGCUCGACCUCCAACCCUUUGUGAACACAACUUGUUGCUUCGGGGGCGACCCUGCCGUUUCGACGGCGAGCGCCCCCGGAGGCCUUCAAACACUGCAUCUUUGCGUCGGAGUUUAAGUAAAUUAAACAAAACUUUCAACAACGGAUCUCUUGGUUCUGGCAUCGAUGAAGAACGCAGCGAAAUGCGAUAAGUAAUGUGAAUUGCAGAAUUCAGUGAAUCAUCGAAUCUUUGAACGCACAUUGCGCCCCUUGGUAUUCCGAGGGGCAUGCCUGUUCGAGCGUCAUUUCACCACUCAAGCCUCGCUUGGUAUUGGGCGCCGCGGUGUUCCGCGCGCCUCAAAGUCUCCGGCUGAGCUGUCCGUCUCUAAGCGUUGUGAUUUCAUUAAUCGCUUCGGAGCGCGGGCGGUCGCGGCCGUUAAAUCUUUCACAAGGUUGACCUCGGAUCAGGUAGGGAUACCCGCUGAACUUAAGCAUAUCAAUAAG